UACGUAGGGUGCAAGCGUUGUCCGGAUUUAUUGGGCGUAAAGAGCUCGUAGGCGGUCUGUCGCGUCGGAUGUGAAAACCCAGGGCUCAACCCUGGGCCUGCAUUCGAUACGGGCAGACUAGAGUGUGGCAGGGGAGACUGGAAUUCCUGGUGUAGCGGUGAAAUGCGCAGAUAUCAGGAGGAACACCGGUGGCGAAGGCGGGUCUCUGGGCCGUAACUGACGCUGAGGAGCGAAAGCAUGGGGAGCGAACAGG
rnacentral:rRNA from 1 species